rnacentral:rRNA from 1 species
CAGUAGCGUAUAUUAAUGUUGUUGCAGUUAAAAAGCUCGUAGUUGGAUUUCUAGCAGACAUGCAUGGUCCGGGCCACGUCAGUGGAACUGAGUAUCGUCGUUGUGUCUGUUAUCUUACUAGUUUAACAACUUUUCGGGUUGUUCGACUGGUUCUUUUACUUUGAAAAAUUAGAGUGUUUAAAGCAGGCUUGCGCAAUGAAUACAUUAGCAUGGAAUAAUAACAUAAGACUUUGGUUUUAUUUUGUUGGUUCAUAGCACCGAAGUAAUGAUUGAUAGGGAUAGUUGGGGGUGCUAGUAUUGAGUGGCCAGAGGUGAAAUUCGGGGAUUCGCUCAAGACUAACUUAUGCGAAAGCAUUCACCAAGGAUGUCUUCUUUAAUCAAGAACGAAAGUUGGGGGAUCGAAGACGAUCAGAUACCGU